AGCGAACGCUAGCGGCGGGCUUAACACAUGCAAGUCGAGCGCAUCUCCUUCGGGAGGUGAGCGGCGAACGGGUGAGUAACACGUAGGUAACGUACCCUCUGGUGGGAAUAACCCAGGGAAACUUGGGCUAAUACCGCAUGUGCCCUUCGGGGUGAAAGACUUCGGUUGCCAGAGGAUCGGCCUGCGGCCCAUUAUUUAAUCCUAGUUGGUAGGGUAACGGCCUACCAAGGGUACGAUGGGUAGCUGGUCUGAGAGGAUGAUCAGCCACACUGGGACUGAGACACGGCCCAGACUCCUACGGGAGGCAGCAGUGGGGAAUAUUGGACAAUGGGCGAAAGCCUGAUCCAGCCACGCCGCGUGAGUGAUGAAGGGCCUCGGUUGU
rnacentral:rRNA from 1 species